UGAGGCAGGAGAAUUGCUUGAACCCAGGGUGUGGAGGCUGCAGUGAGCUGAGAUCGUGCCACUAUACUCCAGCCUGGGUGACAGAGCGAGACUCCGUUUCA
rnacentral:miRNA from 1 species